AGAAGUGGACUGACAAGAACCCUGUGUAGUUCAUCACAGGGAAGUGCAAAGUCCUACACCUGGGAGGAAACCACCCCAGGCACCUGUACAUGCUGGGGGCCGCUCAGCUGGAAAACAGCCUGACACAAAACCUGGUGGACACCAAGUUGACCAUGAGCUAGUAAUGUGCCCUUACUGCAGAUAAAGCUAAUGGUAUCCUAGCAUGCAUUGACAGCACGUGAUAUUUCCCCUUCUGUUCAGCACUGGUGAGGACACACUUGUUCUAUGCUACAAGAGAGACAUGGACAAAGUGGAAAAAAUCCAACAAAGGGCAAUGAAGAUGAUGAAGGAACUGGACAACCUGUAAGGAGCUCCUGUAACAAAAGGCCAAGAGGGCUGGGUCUGUUCAGGCUGGGGAAGAAGCAGCUCAGGUGGAUCUCAUCAGUGUCUAUAAAUACCUGAAGGGAGCAUGCAAAGAGCCAGGCUUUUUUCAGUGAUGCACAGUACCAGGACAAGAGGUAAUGGACACAGACUGAAACAUGGAAGAUUCCCUCUGUAUAUCAGGAAACAUUUAUUUAGUGUGCAGGUGAUCAAGAAUUGGCACAGGUUCCCCAGAGAGGUGGUGGAAUCUAUCACUGGAGGCAUUUGGACAUGGUUCUGGAACACUGGCCAUAUCAGAGGUCAAAUCGGAGAUUAGGAAGGUUUCUUUCUCAUAUAAAACCUCUCUAAUACUGGUUCAGAGAUGGUAAGGACUUCCAGGAGCCACCUGUGAUCAACUGCAUAAGCAAAGAUACUAAAGACUAACUGGAAGGUGUGCUACAAAAUGUGGAACAAACUGAACUCUGCUGUUGCAUGCGCUUUCAUGUAGUGUCAUACCUUUUAUGAUGAUACAUCAUCACAAGUAUUCAACGGCAGAAUAAAAUUAGGGAGAUAAUUAUUUUUUCUUAGGCAAACUGCUAUAUUGUCAACUGCCAUUUGGCCAUCAUACAAAAAGUUUAUCCCCAGCAUAUGGUAGUGCUAUGUUGAGCUAUGAUGUACGGUACAGCAGGUCAGAAGAAAGAAGAAGGACCUAUGGGGCCAGACUGGGCAGAGUUGCUUGCUUCCUGGAAAAAGGGAAGCACCCAGCACCUAGCAGCCCUCUUCUGUGUGCCUGGAUUUCAGUUUCUACAGACAUAGGCAUAAAAACAUGCAGGAUACAGAUGCUUGAAGACAAAAUUCUGACAAAUUUGCCUGCAGUUUGCAGAGGAUGGAGUCUGGAAAAAGGUCCUUCGACAUUCAUAUUUAAAGCACAAAUAAUUUCAUAUACAGUCUCUGAGACCAUGAAGUAAAAGAGGAUCCUUUCUGGAAUGUAACCCCUCAAGUUACCUGUACCUGCAAUAGUGUUUAGAGAGAACCCUGAAGAGAUUAAGAAGCUGUUUUCUCUUCUUCUAAGACACAGAAAAGAGGAUAUUGGAAGAUACCAUGCCACCAUUAUUAUUUUCCAUUUGGGGAAAGGCUGAAGCCCUGUGCCCAACCGAGAUGAGAUGCAGCUGUCUCAGACCAGGACAAGGUGAAUCACUGACCCCACAUAGAACAGCAAGACUCCCUCCCACUGAACUCAGCAGGAAGGCAAAGCAGUGCUGAUCACAUCUGCUUCUGGGAGAUACUGGGGUUCCAGUUUUUGUAGACAUAAACUGCAGACCUGAAGACUAUGAAAGGAAACAACAGCUGACAUACCAUACCGUACAGCUGGGCAGUACUGGGAAGAUUUGUGAAGUGAGGCAGGUUUUUCUGGGGCCUUGUUUGCUGUGUCCUGCAAUCCAGCAGGCUCUGCCAGUCCUAGAGAUGGCCCCAAGCAGCUCAAGGCAGCAGCAUGCUCUGGCAAAGUCUUGCCAGAAGUCUGCAUUGCCUUUGUCCAGCUGCAAGGGAGUCACACCAGCUGGUGCCAACAUUUCACAGUUGCUAGGAAUAUGUUACACUCAGUAGAGUAACCCAACACAGGUUGUUGUGGAAGCAUUACUUAUUGUGUAUAACCUUUCCAAAGACCAAAGUGGAUUUUGUAUCCUAAGGCCCUGUAGUUAUUUCUACCUUGUACCUGUGCUGUUUCUGCAGCACCACAACAAAACAUGACUUGUAAUACAUGGAUUUCAGCAGGAUUCAAUGUACUAUAUUAAAUACCGUACAGUCUCACUGUAGCAUGCAACAGUACUAAUGCACAACUUGUUCAAUUACAUUCACUUUAAGAAGCCAUUAUAUCCCCAAUGGUCAGAGGGACUAAUGGGAUCCAUCCUCCUUGUUAAGCCCAAGGCACUUACAUACAGAAAAAAAAUCUCUUGAGCAAGUUUGUAUGUCUAGUUUUCUCAAAAUAAAGCAUUUUUUCUUUGCAAAUCAA